GAGACCGGAGCUUCCAUGUUAUGCAUCCUCCCUUGCUCUUUCUGGUGGACACCAGCUGCCCCAUAUAGAGAGAUCCAUGUGGUCAGGAACCGCUAUCUGUUGCCAACAGUUCACAAGGGCCAGUCACUGCUAACAGCCAGGUCAGUCACCUUGGAAGUGAUCCUCCUUCAGUCCAACACUGAAAUGACUACAGCCCCUGAUGACACCUCGACUCAGCUUGAGAGAGACCCUGAACCAGCAAACUCCGCUAGGCUGCAUCCAGAUUCUUGACCCACAGAAAUUGGGAGAUCAUAACCGAUGUUUGAAACCACUAAGUUUGGGGUACUUUAUUACACAUCAAGAGGCAGCCACCUACAAUCAACUGGAAUGGGCAACCAAGAUAAAGCCCUUUGUCCUCAGGCUCCGGUCUGUCACAAAAGUGUCAUCACCUCUGUCAACUAAUGAGGCCCAGAAUCAGCUUCUUCAAGACCUUGGCUCCCUUACUCUCUUCUCUGCUUUACUUUAAAAGUCUAACUACACUGGGGCAGUAAGAACACACAAAAAAAUUUGUGUUUUGAUUUCUAGAUAAACCUCACCUUUGCUCUCUCGGCAAAAGAUCCCUCAUUACUUUAUCAUUGUGGAAAUACUUAUCCAUGACCAGAAUUUUAUGUAAAUUCCUUAUUUCAUCACUGUUCAGCCACUUUCAAAUCUCACUUGCAAUGUUCCUUCUUUGUUCCCUUCUUCAAAAAUAUUCAUCUCUUCCUCUAGAAAGUCUACAAUAGUCUCCCCUGGUCAGGAUGUUUUAUAACUCACCUAGAAACAUGAAUAAAAGAUUGGCCUCCUUAA